rnacentral:rRNA from 1 species
GAGUUUGAUCAUGGCUCAGAUUGAACGCUGGCGGCAGGCUUAACACAUGCAAGUCGAACGGUAGCAGGAAGAAAGCUUGCUUUCUUUGCUGACGAGUGGCGGACGGGUGAGUAAUGCUUGGGAAUCUGGCUUAUGGAGGGGGAUAACUGUGGGAAACUGCAGCUAAUACCGCGUAGUAUCGAGAGAUGAAAGGGUGGGACCUUCGGGCCACCUGCCAUAAGAUGAGCCCAAGUGGGAUUAGGUAGUUGGUGGGGUAAAGGCCUACCAAGCCGACGAUCUCUAGCUGGUCUGAGAGGAUGACCAGCCACACUGGGACUGAGACACGGCCCAGACUCCUACGGGAGGCAGCAGUGGGGAAUAUUGCGCAAUGGGGGGAACCCUGACGCAGCCAUGCCGCGUGAAUGAAGAAGGCCUUCGGGUUGUAAAGUUCUUUCGGUAAUGAGGAAGGGGUAUUAUUGAAUAGAUAAUAUCAUGACGUA